ACAAGCGGUGGAUGAUGUGGAUUAAUUCGAUGCAACGCGAAAACCUUACCUACCCUUGACAUGUACGGAACCUUUAAGAGAUUUAGAGGGUGCUCGAAAGAGAGCCGUAACACAGGUGCUGCAUGGCUGUCGUCAGCUCGUGUCGUGAGAUGUUGGGUUAAGUCCCGCAACGAGCGCAACCCUUGUCAUUAGUUGCUACGAAAGGGCACUCUAAUGAGACUGCCGGUGACAAACCGGAGGAAGUGGGGAUGACGUCAAGUCCUCAUGGCCCUUAUGGGUAGGGCUUCACACGUCAUACAAUGGUACAUACAGAGGGCUGCCAACCCGCGAGGGGGAGCUGAUCCCAGAAAGUGUAUCGUAGUCCGGAUUGAAGUCUGCAACUCGACUUCAUGAAGUUGGAAUCGCUAGUAAUCGCGGAUCAGCAUGUCGCGGUGAAUACGUUCCCGGGUCUU
rnacentral:rRNA from 1 species